ensembl:processed_transcript
AGACUCAAAUCUUGUAAAGGUAGACAACACCGAUAUAAUUACACAAAAACAUUGACGACAAGGAAAACCUGGUCAGAUCGCGCGAACAACUGGACUGUGAAGAGGAUUACGUUAGUCAAAGCAGGCACGGGGAACAAAAUAACUGGCAGCGAAAAUACUUCUUGGUGAUGUGUACAAAGAUUUAAUUGUGAAAAAGGGAUGAUUUCAAGAAGAGAGAAGACAUACGGAUGACCAGUAAAGGAACAAAGCAAAAAAAUAAAUAAAAAAUGGCUGUUAAGGUUGCAAGUACUUCUCAAAGUUCAGCUAUGUUUGCAAUGGGGAAACAACUUAAAAGAGACCUCAAGAAGCGAUAC